GUUGAUGUGAACCUGAGUUUGGGCACACCCACCCUCUCUAGCUCCCCCUGUGAUUUUUUUCCUCUGCAUAUAGCCCACCAUGGCCGCUCAUCAGAGGCUAAACCAAUGUGCCCACCUGAUACUGGGUUGAACCUCCAAAAAUGAUGAAGUAAGAAGGCACAAUAUUUGAAGCAGAAAACAUGCUCUUAUCAGACACCAAAUCUGCUGGACUGACCUUGGACAUCCCAUUCUCUAGACCUGGUCUUAGAUGACUGGCAGGAUGAUGUGAAUGGUGAGAUGGCAACUUCUACUAAGACAAACUGCAAUUAUAUCAAACUGGAUCCUUACACCAAGUGCUGCUGAAAAGUUGGCCCUUUUUAAUGACUAGAAGAAAAUACGUCACCAGUGAGCUCUAACUCACCAACACAUGUCAGCCUGUUAUCCCACCAGCCAACUAAACUGGAGCCUCAUAGAUAGGAAAGAUACAGGAAAUCAGUGUGUAACUCAAAGUAAACUGUCAUGUUUUAAGAAAACAUAUUAUUUUUGAAUAUGAAACACCAAUAUAUAAUUUAAUGUUUGCUUUUAUAUUCAUCAAGUAAAUAGCUAGUGUAAUGACCCUAAAAAUGUUUUAAUAGUGUUGACAGACUCACAAAAUAAGACUAGUGUUAAAGGGACUAGGAAAAACAUCUCAGCAAGAAAUGUGACAUAGAAUUCUGUCAGUGAAGGUCUUUCUCCCAAGAGACUAUGUGACAUACAUAAAAUUGUAUGGAGUGAAUCAAGUAAAUUGUAAAUGCAUGGCAUUGUUAUAAAGGAAAUAAAAAAUAGAGUAUGAGAAUUCUGCUCUGGGGUGGAGGUGACACAGUCAAAAUAUUUUUCUGUGUACAGUGAUCCACAGUUGCAUUAAACUCUAUUAUCUGAAAACCAAGGAAAACAAAACUCCCGGGGAUUUCAGUAGCAUAAAAAAGGUCUGAAUAGAAUCAUUUCUAUCAAAAAAGCUUUUCAUAGUGUUAGAGCAUUUUAUCAUAUGCCUUUUCUUUCAACUGGUACUGCUCUAUAACAUUGUUUAACAACAUGGUAAAUGUAUGGAAAUUAAGACUAAUACAUUAAUACUAGGGCAGGAACAAAACUGAUCUCUGUUUCAGACCAUUUUGCAGAAUAUUUCAAAUUUUCAUGGGAUAUGUAUUUAACUCUUUCUCAAAACAAGUGUAAACUCAGUCUAAUUAAUGACUUUUAGACAUGUUAAUGACUAUAAUAGGAAAGUUGAAAACAGAUUUCAGUCCUAAAUUUGUGAUUCAUUUUCAGCAAAACCAUCAGAAAGUCACAGUUUUGAG